AUACGGAGGGUGCAAGCGUUACUCGGAAUCACUGGGCGUAAAGCGCGCGCAGGCGGGCUGAUAAGUUGGAUGUGAAAGCCUACGGCUCAACCGUAGAACUGCAUCCAAAACUGUCAGUCUAGAGUCUGGGAGGGGAAGAUGGAAUUAGUUGUGUAGGGGUAAAAUCCGUAGAGAUAACUAGGAAUACCUAAAGCGAAGGCGAUCUUCUGGAACAGUACUGACGCUGAGGCGCGAAAGCGUGGGGAGCAAACAGGAUUAGAAACCCUAGUAGUCC
rnacentral:rRNA from 1 species